rnacentral:rRNA from 1 species
CCUACGGGUCGCACCAGUGGGGAAUAUUGCACAAUGGGCGCAAGCCUGAUGCAGCCAUGCCGCGUGUAUGAAGAAGGCCCUAGGGUUGUAAAGUACUUUCAACGGGGAGGAAGGUGUUGUGGUUAAUAACCACAGCAAUUGACGUUACCCGCAGAAGAGGCACCGGCUAACUCCGUGCCAGCAGCCGCGGUAAUACGGAGGGUGCAAGCGUUAAUCGAAAUUACUGGGCGUAAAGCGCACGCAGGCGGUCUGUCAAGUCGGAUGUGAAAUCCCCGGGCUCAACCUGGGAACUGCAUUCGAAACUGGCAGGCUAGAGUCUUGUAGAGGGGGGUAGAAUUCCAGGUGUAGCGGUGAAAUGCGUAGAGAUCUGGAGGAAUACCGGUGGCGAAGGCGGCCCCCUGGACAAAGACUGACGCUCAGGUGCGAAAGCGUGGGGAGCAAACAGGAUUAGAUACCCGGGUAGUC